AAUGAACGCUGGCGGCAUGCCUAACACAUGCAAGUCGAACGAAGCCUUCGGGCUUAGUGGCGCACGGGUGCGUAACGCGUGGGAAUCUGCCCUUGGGUUCGGAAUAACAGUGGGAAACUACUGCUAAUACCGAAUGAUGUCGUAAGACCAAAGAUUUAUCGCCCAGGGAUGAGCCCGCGUAGGAUUAGCUAGUUGGUGUGGUAAAGGCGCACCAAGGCGACGAUCCUUAGCGGUCUGAGAGGAUGAUCAGCCACACUGGGACUGAGACACGGCCCAGACUCCUACGGGAGGCAGCAGUGGGGAAUAUUGGACAAUGGGCGAAAGCCUGAUCCAGCAAUGCCGCGUGAGUGAUGAAGGCCUUAGGGUUGUAAAGCUCUUUUACCCGGGAUGAUAAUGACAGUACCGGGAGAAUAAGCUCCGGCUAACUCCGU
rnacentral:rRNA from 1 species